rnacentral:rRNA from 1 species
GUGCCAGCAGCCGCGGUAAUACGUAGGGGGCAAGCGUUGUCCGGAAUUACUGGGCGUAAAGCGCACGCAGGCGGUUUUCUACGUUCAAGGUGACAGUCUCCGGCUCAACUGGAGAAGUGGUUUGAAAACGGGAAAACUUGAGAGCGAGAGAGGGACACGGAACUCCGGGUGGAGCGGUGAAAUGCGUAGAGAUCCGGAAGAACACCGAAGGCGAAGGCAGUGUCCUGGCUCGUUUCUGACGCUCAGGUGCGAAAGCUAGGGGAGCAAACGGGAUUAGAUACCCCUGUAGUCC